GCUUACGGCCACACCUCCCUGAGCACGCCCGAUCUCGUCUGAUCUCAGAAGCUAAGCAGGGUCGGCCCGGUUAGUACUUGGAUGGAGACCGCCUGGGAAUACCAGGUGCUGUAAGCC
rnacentral:rRNA from 1 species